UGUGCUGUGGAAACGUGCGCUCCCAGACCACGAUAUCUUCAAUAAAACACGAAAAAAGUUAACUUAAAGUACCAAGCAACUUCAAAUAGAUUUUCCAAAAAUCUCACGUGCUGUCUAGAUAGAAAUGUCUUCAUUUGGGAUGAUAUAGACAGUGUCUUAUACUCAACAAACUUAGGAGAACUGAAUUCUGAAGAGGGACUGAACAGUGCAAAAUACCAGCCUUUGAUGUGCAUCAGUCCUCCACUGUUUGAAGUCUACCGGUUGCUUCUUCUCGGUCGCAUGUCGCCCUCAUUGGUCAGCGAGGCGCUACUGUACUCGAACUCUCCCAGCGUUGGGGUAAGAAGUCAGAGUUUGAAGGACGUCUUCAGAUCCACUGAAACUCAGUCCCCGUGGUGGAGUGUCUGUUUGCUAGCUCCAACUCACUGACUCUCAGACAGGCUGCCUGGAACCUGGGUGGGCCAGACAACACAAUCAGGUGGAUAUAUGCAGCCUCGCUGGGUGAGAUUGCUGUGGCGUUUGACUUUGGCCCGCUGACAGACAGCACUCAACUAUCCAGCCAGCGUCUCAGAAGUGAGGCGCCCGUCUAUCCUUUGUACAUUCUAUAUGAGAAGGGAGAGAUCUAUCUGAGCUACAUGUCUUUAACAUUUAACCUACAGUGGAGGUAAUCUGUGAAGGAUCCUCUGCCCAUUGCCCAUGUAUCCUGCAGCUGAGGAUAACUAUGGGUAUGACGCGUGUGCAUUGCUCUGCCUACCCUGCUCUCCCAGCAUUCUUGUCAUCGCCACGGAAACAGGCAUUCUCUACCACUGCGUUGUCCUGGAAGCAGAGCACGAGGAAGAUAGAGGCAUGAGUGACUGCUCCGAACCUAAAAAUAUUACAACAGAACACUUCACUGAAUAUUCAUGAAAUACCAGUUGAGGUCGCGUUGCCGGUAAAGAGGAGCGUGCUGCUUUUAAUGUAACUUAAUAUGACCGGCUCCAGGUUGUAGCAAAGUGGUAGAGGGGAGCGGAGACUGUGCCGUCACUGUGUGUUGAAGUCACACUUCGCUUGACCCAUCAAAUUACACAGAGAUAGCACUGUACACACGAGGCCAGCGUACACAGCGUGGGCCUCACGCGGAUCAACAAACUGCACAAGUUCCUUGAGCCUGGGAAAGAGGAUAAGGAUAGCCUUCAAGAGCUGGCUGCCGAGCUAAAGAGGCAUUGUGGAGCACAUCCUGUGCACCAAGCCCCUCAGCAGCAGACAUUGGGUUUGCCCUGUGUGUGGCCCAGCCUGCCUGCACCAAUAAGGGGGUUCUGGGUCAUGCCAGGCCUUUCCCUGGACGCCGGCAUGGUCUGCAUCACCAGCACUUCCGGGUGUCUGCUGCUCCCCCUACUGAGUGCCAUUUGGCCGGUCUCUCCUGCCCUGCUGUGCUCCGGCUCAGAGAGCGGGCCCCGGGGCUCUCCUCCGCACGGAUUGGCCGAGGAUUCAU